GUUUGUUGUAAGCUCAAAUUGGUUUCCGAUAAUGACCCAUGGUCUAAAAGAGUUGAUUUUCUUAUUGAAGUCAUGGUCUCCUUCUUUGAGAAACAGCAGUCUCAGAAGGAAGCUAUAAAUGCUCUUCCUCUUUACCCAAAUGAGCAGAUCAUGUGGGAUGAAAGUGUCGUACCAAGUAUUAAUUACUCUGGAGAAGGCUGCCUGGCACUUCCAAAACUUAAUUUGCAAUUCUUAACACUCCAUGAUUAUCUUCUAAGGAAUUUCAAUCUCUUCCGGCUUGAGUCAACAUAUGAGAUCCGUGAGGACAUUCAGGAAGCUGUUCCGCACCUCCUUGCCUACAUUAAUAAUGAAGCAGAAACUGCAUUUCGUGGUUGGUCAAGAAUGGCUGUGCCUAUAAAAGAAUUUAAGAUUACUGAGGUCAAACAGCCGAAUAUUGGUGAAGUCAAACCAUCAUCUGUUACAGCAGAAGUUACUUUUAGCAUUUCCAGUUAUAAAGCACAAAUAAGAUCAGAGUGGAAUGCCCUGAAGGAGCAUGAUGUUCUAUUUUUGCUUUCGAUUCGCCCUUCAUUUGAGCCUCUUAGUGCUGAGGAAGCUGGGAAGGCUACUGUGCCACAGAGACUUGGUCUCCAGUAUGUGCGGGGAUGUGAAAUUAUUGAGAUUCGUGAUGAGGAGGGAACACUCAUGAAUGAUUUCACUGGAAGGAUUAAACGGG
rnacentral:misc_RNA from 1 species